rnacentral:rRNA from 1 species
AGAGUUUGAUCCUGGCUCAGGAUGAACGUUGGCGGCGUGCCUAACACAUGCAAGUCGAACGAUUUAAUUCGUUAAAUAGUGGCAAACGGGUGAGUAACACGUAGCUGACCUACCCUCAAGAGGGGGAUAACGCUCGGAAACGAGUGCUAAUACCCCAUAAGCUCACGGGAGCUAAGCGACAGUGAGAAAAGCUUUUGCGCUUGGGGAUGGGGCUGCGUCCCAUCAGCUAGUUGGAGAGGUAACGGCUCACCAAGGCGACGACGGGUAGGGGGCCUGAGAGGGUGACCCCCCACACUGGGACUGAGACACGGCCCAGACUCCUACGGGAGGCAGCAGUGAGGAAUAUUGCACAAUGGGCGCAAGCCUGAUGCAGCGACGCCGCGUGGGCGAAGAAGGUUUUCGGACUGUAAAGCCCUGUUCUGUGUGACGAGGAAGGACGGUAGCACAGGAGAAAGUGUCGGCUAACUACGUGCCAGCAGCCGCGGUAAGACGUAGGACGCAAACGUUAUCCGGAGUUACUGGGCGUAAAGGGCGCGCAGGUGGAUAUUUAAGUCCUGUAUGAAAACUCCUGGCUAAACUAGGAGAAGCUAGAGGAUACUGGGUAUCUUGAGUCGAACAGAGGAGUACAGAAUUCCGCGUGUAGUGGUGAAAUGCGUAGAGAUGCGGAGGAAUACCCGUGGCGAAAGCGGUACUCUGGGUUCAGACUGACACUGAGGCGCGAAGGCGUGGGUAGCGAACGGGAUUAGAGACCCCGGUAGUCCACGCGGUAAACGAUGCACACUCGACGUUCGCCGCUUGACGGUGAGUGUCACAGCUAACGCACUAAGUGUGCCGCCUGGGGAGUACGGUCGCAAGAUUAAAACUCAAAGGAAUUGACGGGGGCCCGCACAAGCAGCGGAGCGUGUGGUUUAAUUCGGGCCUACACGAAGAACCUUACCUAGGCUUGACAUACAGGUGGUAGCGAAGUGAAAGCGGAGCGACCCUUAAACAAGGAGCCUGUACAGGUGCUGCAUGGCUGUCGUCAGCUCGUGUCGUGAGAUGUUCGGUUAAGUCCGCAAACGAGCGCAACCCUUAUUGCCAGUUACAAGUGUCUGGCGAGACUGCCCUUGAUAAAGGGGAGGAAGGUGGGGAUGACGUCAAGUCAGCAUGGCCUUUAUGUCUAGGGCUACACACACGCUACAAUGGUCGGUACAAUGGGUAGCGAGACCGCGAGGUGGAGCCAAUCCUCAAAGCCGAUCUCAGUUCAGAUUGUAGGCUGCAACUCGCCUGCAUGAAGUCGGAGUUGCUAGUAACCGCGUAUCAGCAUGUCGCGGUGAAUACGUUCCCGGGCCUUGUACACACCGCCCGUCACGUCAUGGGAGUUGGUCACGCCUGAAGUCGGGAAGCUAACCGCAAGGGGGCUACUGCCGAGGGCGGGUCUGAUGACUGGGACGAAGUCGGAACAAGGUA